rnacentral:rRNA from 1 species
CGUCCUAUUAGCUAGUUGGUGAGGUAAUGGCUCACCAAGGCUAUGAUGGGUAGGGGUCCUUAGUGGAAGGUCCCCCGCACUGGCACUGAGAUACGGGCCAGACUCCUACGGGAGGCAGCAGUAGGGAAUAUUGGUCAAUGGGCGCAAGCCUGAACCAGCCAUGCCGCGUGCAGGAUGAAGGCUCUCUGAGUUGUAAACUGCUUUUGUACAGGAGCAAAAAAAUCCCUGCGGGGGUUCUUGAGAGUACUGUAAGAAUAAGCACCGGCUAAUUCCGUGCCAGCAGCCGCGGUAAUACGGGAGGUGCAAGCGUUAUCCGGUUUUACUGGGUUUAAAGGGUGCGUAGGCGGCUUAUUAAGUCAGUCGUGAAAUCCUAGUGCUUAACGCUAGAGCUGCGAUUGAUACUAUU